CGAUGGACAAUUCAUGAGCUACUGCUAAGCUCUGGAAAGCUCAGAUAGCACAUGGACAGUCAUGCCUUAGUAACAGUCAGAAGAACCAACUCAAGACAAACACAUUUCCAUCAUGUAUGGAAUGUCUACCAAGAAGUUAUUUAUUCUGUCCUUAACAAUAUCUGCAUCUGCCC